UACGUAGGGGGCAAGCGUUAUCCGGAUUUACUGGGUGUAAAGGGAGCGUAGACGGCAUUGCAAGUCUGAUGUGAAAGAUUGGGGCCCAACCCCAGGCCUGCAUUGGAAACUGUAAAGCUGGAGUACAGGAGAGGUAAGCGGAAUUCCUAGUGUAGCGGUGAAAUGCGUAGAUAUUAGGAGGAACACCAGUGGCGAAGGCGGCUUACUGGACCGUAACUGACGUUGAGGCUCGAAAGCGUGGGGAGCAA
rnacentral:rRNA from 1 species